rnacentral:rRNA from 1 species
UUUAUUUCACGUGUAGGGGUAAAAUCCGUACGCCGAUGUAGAAGGAACACCGGAAGGCGAAGGCGCCUGCCUGGAUGAUUAUUGACGCUGAGGCGCGAAAGCGUGGGGAGCAAACAGGAUUAGAUACCCUGGUAGUCCACGCCGUAAACGAUGAGCACUAGUUAUUGGAGGUAUUGACUCCUUCAGUGACGCAGCUAACGCAUUAAGUGCUCCGCCUGGGAAGUACGGUCGCAAGACUAAAACUCAAACAAAUUGACGGGGGCCCGCACAAGCGGUGGAUUAUGUGGUUUAAUUCGAAGCAACGCGCAGAACCUUACCUAGGCUUGAACUCCUACGAAUCCGGGGUAAUGCCUGGAGUGUCCGCAAGGAAAUGUAGUGAGAGGUGCUGCAUGGCUGUCGUCAGCUCGUGUUGUGAAAUGUUGGGUUAAGUCUCGCAACGAGCGCAACCCCUAUCGUCUGUUGCCAGCAUUAAGUUGGGCACUCUGACGAGACUGCCUGGGUUAACCAGGAGGAAGGUGGGGAUGACGUCAAGUCCUCAUGGCCCUUAUGUCUAGGGCUACACACGUAAUACAAUGGCGCGUACAGAGGGAAGCGAACUCGCGAGGGGGAGCAAAUCUCAAAAAGCGCGUCUCAGUCCGGAUUGGAGUCUGCAACUCGACUCCAUGAAGUUGGAAUCGCUAGUAAUCGGAGAUCAGCACGCUCCGGUGAAUACGUUCCCGGGCCUUGUACACUUCCGUCCGUCAUUUCCAUGGGAGUUGUUUUCAUUUUAAGAACGUGACUAAUA